ensembl:lncRNA
GGUGGUGGUGUGUAUGAGGUGGUGGUGUGUAUGAGGUGGUGGUGUAUAUGAGGUGGGGGUGUGUAUGGGGUGGUGUGUAUGAGGUGGUGGUGUGUAUGAGGUGGGGGUGUGUAUGGGGUGGUGUGUAUGAGGUGGUGAUGUGUAUGAGAUGGUGUUGUGUAUGAGGUAAGGGUGUAUAUGAGGUGGGGGUGUGUAUGUGGUGGUGGUGUGUAUGAGGUGGUGGUGUGUAUGAGGUGGUGGUGUGUAUGAGGUGGUGGUGUGUAUGUGGUGGGGGUGUGUAUGAGGUGGUGGUGUGUAUGAGGUGGGGGUGUGUAUGAGGUGGUGGUGUGUAUGAGGUGGUGGUGUGUAUGAGGUGGUGGUGUGUAUGAGGUGGGGGUGUGUAUGAGGUGGUGGUGUGUAUGAGGUGGUGGUGUGUAUGAGGUGGUGGUGUGUAUGGGGUGUUGUGUAUGAGGUGGUGAUGUGUAUGAGAUGGUGUUGUGUAUGAGGUAAGGGUGUGUAUGAGGUGGUGGUGUGUAUGAGGUGGUGGUGUGUAUGGGAUGGUGUGUAUGAGGUAAUGGUGUGUAUGAGGUAAUGGUGUAUAUGAGGUGGUGGUGUGUCUGAGGUGGUGGUGUGUCUGAGGUAAUGGUGUACAUGAGGUGGGGGUGUAUAUGAGGUGGUGGUGUGUAUGAGGUGGGGGUGUGUAUGGGGUGUUGUGUAUGAGGUGGUGGUGUGUAUGAGGUGGGGGUGUGUAUGCGAUGGUGUGUAUGAGGUGGUGGUGUGUAUGGGAUGGUGUGUAUGAGGUGGUGGUGUGUAUGAAGUGGUGGUGUGUAUGAGGUAAUGGUGUGUAUGAGGUAAGGGUGUAUAUGAGGUGGGGGUGUCUAUGAGGUGGUGGUGUGUAUGAGGUGGGGGUGUGUAUGAGGUGGGGGUGUGUAUGAGGUGGUGGUGUGUAUGAGGUAAUGGUGUGUAUGAGGUAAUGGU